UCCUACGGGGGGCAGCAGUGAGGAAUAUUGGUCAAUGGGCGCGAGCCUGAACCAGCCAAGUAGCGUGAAGGAUGACUGCCCUACGGGUUGUAAACUUCUUUUAUAAAGGAAUAAAGUGAGGCACGUGUGCCUUUUUGUAUGUACUUUAUGAAUAAGGAUCGGCUAACUCCGUGCCAGCAGCCGCGGUAAUACGGAGGAUCCGAGCGUUAUCCGGAUUUAUUGGGUUUAAAGGGCGUGUAGGCGGGACUGCAAGUCAGAUG
rnacentral:rRNA from 1 species